AUGGCUACCACAGGGCCGCGGGGGCCCGCCGGGAGCUGUCGCGGCCAUUGGCUCCGCCCCCUUUCGCCCCCGCGCGCUGAUUGGCGUUUCCCGGGAGACCGCCGCGCCCGGUGGGGCAGGGCGGGUGCUGGUGGCAGUCAGCGGCGGUUCCCGCGCCGGGUGCCGCGCUCCUCAAGGGCCGCCGGUGCUGGGCGGCCGGGAGCGCGCCUCGCGAGGCCGCCCUGGGCACUAGGGGCGGGGAAGGAGCGGUUUGAGAGGCGCCUAAAGGAGGGUGCAGGUGCUUUAUUGCCAACUUGUUCAGUUCCUGCAGCAGUCAGUAAAACCUGAUGAUUAUCACCUGGUACAAAAACGUUCCAGAUGUCAGAAAGAAAGAGAGAGAACAAAGUUUCCUUCAUUAGAUGUGACAUGUCUAUUUGAAUUAAUAAUAUUGCAACAGUGAUGGCAUUCAUAUUGUGAUCAAAUGCCAUCAAUUUGAAUAUAUAUUGGUCAAUAUGUGUAAUUUCAUUUUACUGGGAGAUCAAAAAGGGGAUGGUUAACAUGGGCGGAAGGUGAUUCUGUGCAGCAAUAAGGAGAGAAUACCAUCUUUGGCUUACAUUGAGAAACAGUGAGGAGCUGGCAAAAUUUUGGUGGCUUUACUCUUAGCAGCGGCUGUUAAAAGAUAGAUCAAGCAUUGCAAAAUUAAAAUCAUGGCUGACAAUUAUUUUGAGCAUAGCAUUCAGUGCUUGAUGUGGAAAGUCUCAAUGAACUGCUUGGUGGUUAUUAGCAGCACUUGGCUGCUUUCAGGGAGGCCGUUUAAGUGCACAUGUCGAGGAACUUUAUUUUCCUUCAUGCGCAAACUCUAAUUCUAGAUUGGGUUCUAAUCAUUGCAUAGGAAUCGUCAUCAGUGUCGGAAGUCCACAGUCUAUACACAAUAGUUUUUCACUUCCCUUUUCAAUGCAGACCUUUAUCUAGCUGCUAAUGAAAUACAGGAGAUUGAUUGCAGAAAACCUGCAAGGGCAUAUUUGCUGUGCCAUAUAUAGUAAGCCCCAUUUGGUACAUUAGCAUUUAGCCAUUUUAUGCAAAUUUAGUGAGAAAAUGACUCGUGUAUAUGAUUUAAUAUGCAUCAGCGAUGUAA
rnacentral:lncRNA from 1 species